GGGAAGCAUCAGACCCCCCUCGCUUUUCCCAAAACCUCUCAUCCCAGGCAUCGCAUCCCGGCAAUGGAGGGAAGGCACGGACAAUCAGAGAAAUGAAUACAAUGUGAAGCCUGAAGAGUAAUAACACAGCGAAAUGACAACGGAGGAACGAGACGGGAAUCUGAGAGAUACAAUGGCAGUCUUUCAGGUCCUUCCAACUCGCCCGUCUCUGCCGAUACACGAAAGAAAAUUGGCUUCUCCUGGGUAGCUGUCACCAUCCCUGCUGCUGACAAAAGGAUGUCUUUAUCGUGCUUGUGGGGGUUGGAAAAUUCAGUGACCUGUACAAAACACAUGGAAUUUGCUCUCCUGUUAUCCUGUGCUGGGUGGAUUCAUCUGUGGUGGAAAUGGACUGUGCCAGAGAGCAGCUUUGAAGACCUGAGACCCCUUUGCAGUGCUACAAACUGAUGGCGCAGCACCUCAGGUGUACAAAUCCCAGCUUUUUUCCUUCUAAGUCCAUCUUCUUUUUACCUCCUUUCACCUCUGUGUAUACAAAUUUCCAAGUAGGUUGGGAUAAUGGUAUGGAAUUCAGCCACUGAGGGUGCUUGGAGCCACCACUCACGCUCCCAUCAGUAAAAUCUGGGAUAAGAGCCUUCCCCUCCAUGGGGGAACACCAUCUAGCACGUGUUAUUCCUGUGGAUGUUCCCACCACCAGUAUUUAUUCUGUUUCUGGAUCAUGCUGAGCUCCCCUCCUCUCUGCUUUCCCCUCUUCCCAACCUCAUGGAAAUCUCUCCUUAAUUCAGGUACAGCAAAAAGGGCACAACGGAUUUUUCCUCUCACUCCUGAUUAUUCUGGUUAUUUUCCACCACUUCCCCAAACCAUUACCUGCUCCUUUUGGGAAUCUGUUCAUCCCAAAUCCCUCCCGUGUUCUGGAUCCUCUGCAACACCUGCAUCUCUCCCUUUCCUCCAUGCAAACUCUCCAGGAGCAGGGGAUAUCUCACAUGCUGAAGUCGCUCAGCACUUGGGUCAAAGCUUUUGAAUGAAACGAUCCAACAUCACCUCCUCAAACCCAGGUCACUUUGUGCAGCUCCUGGCACCAAUAUUUUUGUUAAAGCCUUUGAAUUAAGUUGCUCCACUCCAUCUCUUUGAAGCCAUUUGACUUCCCACCCAAGGAACCGGGCAGAAACCUCCUCCCCCUUCCCUCCCCACCUCCCCACACCUCUUGUACAAAUCCUCUUGGAAGGAAUAAAAGCUGCUGGAGGGUGUGAGCUGGCCACGCAUGUUGUAGCUCUUUAUUAUCUGGCGACCCCCACUCAAAUGUACAGAGAGAUAAUGUUAAUGGAAUGAUGCAUUUGCUCUGAUCUGGAGCUGUCUCAGAAAGAUAAAUGCCGAGGCAAAGCAGAAGCGUUUAAUCAAAAAAUAAACCACCUCAAUAUGUUGUGUAUUAUGAUUUUUUUCUCCUAAAGAAGCAAAGCUUGGUCCUGUCACUGCAUGUUAUUUUGCCAGCAUUAUCUCUGUUAUUU